rnacentral:rRNA from 1 species
AGACGCAGCGCACAGCUCAGUAACACGUGGCUAAUCUGCCCUUGGGACCGGAACACCCCCGGGAAACUGGGGCUAAUUCUCGAUAGGUGAAGAACUCUGGAAUGAGUCUUUGCCAAAAAGAUGCUAGAGUUAUGCUCUUUGGCAUCGCCCAAGGAUGAGGCCGCGACCGAUCAGGUUGUUGGUGAGGUAAUGGCUCACCAAGCCUUUUACCGGUGCGGGCCGUGAGAGCGGGAGCCCGGAGAUGGGCACUGAGACAAGGGCCCAGGCCCUACGGGGCGCAGCAGUCGCGAAAACUUUGCAAUACACGAAAGUGUGACAGGGCUAUCCCGAGUGCCAUCCGCUGAGGAAGGCUUUUACCCAGUCUAGAACGCUGGGGGAAUAAGGAGAGGGCAAGUCUGGUGUCAGCCGCCGCGGUAAUACCAGCUCUCCGAGUGGUGUGGAUGUUUAUUGGGCCUAAAGCAUCCGUAGCUGGCUAAGUUAGUCCCUUGUUAAAUCCACCGAAUUAAUCGUUGGAUUGCGGGGGAUACUGCUUGGCUAGGGGACGAGAGAGGCAGACGGUAUUUCCGGGGUAGGGGUGAAAUCCUAUAAUCCCGGGAAGACCACCAGUGGCGAAGGCUGUCUGCUAGAACGCGCCCGACGGUGAGGGAUGAAAGCUGGGGGAGCGAACCGGAUUAGAUACCCGGGUAGUCCCAGCUGUAAACGAUGCAGGCUAGGUGUUUGGACGGCCACGUGCCGUUCUAGUGCCGCAGGGAAGCUGUUA